rnacentral:rRNA from 1 species
CCUACGGGGUGCAGCAGUCGAGAAUUAUUCACAAUGGGGGAAACCCUGAUGGUGCGACGCCGCGUGGGGGAAUGAAGGUCUUCGGAUUGUAAACCCCUGUCAUGUGGGAGCAAAUUAAAAAGAUCGUACCACACGAGGAAGAGACGGCUAACUCUGUGCCAGCAGCCGCGGUAAUACAGAGGUCUCAAGCGUUGUUCGGAAUCACUGGGCGUAAAGCGUGCGUAGGCUGUUUCGUAAGUCGUGUGUGAAAGGCGCGGGCUCAACCCGCGGACGGCACAUGAUACUGCGAGACUAGAGUAAUGGAGGGGGAACCGGAAUUCUCGGUGUAGCAGUGAAAUGCGUAGAUAUCGAGAGGAACACUCGUGGCGAAGGCGGGUUCCUGGACAUUAACUGACGCUGAGGCACGAAGGCCAGGGGAGCGAAAGGGAUUAGAUACCCUUGUAGUC